GUACAAUAAGCAAAAUAAGGGCGUAUGGGGGAUGCCUUGGCUCUCAGAGGCGAUGAAGGGCGUGAUAAGCUGCGAAAAGCUACGGGGAUCAGCACACAUGACUUGAUCCGUAGAUACCCGAAUGGGGCAACCCACUAUGUUGAAGACAUAGUACACCGAUAGGUGGGCAAACCCGCUGAACUGAAACAUCUAAGUAGGCGGAGGAGAAGAAAACAAAAGUGAUUCCGUAAGUAGUGGCGAGCGAACGCGGAUUAGCCCAAACCAAUGUUGUUACGGCAAUGUUGGGGUUGUAGGACCACGUUAUUUGUUGCGGAUAGAAUUAGAAUUUACUGGAAAGUAAAGCCAAAGAAGGUGAUAGCCCUGUAUAAGUAAUAGAAGAUAACGAUAGUGGUAUCCUGAGUAGGGCGGGACACGAGAAAUCCUGUCUGAAUUUGGCGGGACCAUCCGCUAAGGCUAAAUACUCCUGAGAGACCGAUAGUGAACCAGUACCGUGAGGGAAAGGUGAAAAGAACCGUGAAUAACGGAGUGAAAUAGAUCCUGAAACCAUACGCUUACAAGCGGUCGGAGCCCUUUCGUGGGGUGACGGCGUGCCUUUUGCAUAAUGAGCCUACGAGUUAACGUUGCUGGCAAGGUUAAGUGAUUAAGUCACGGAUCCGUAGCGAAAGCGAGUCUGAAUAGGGCGCUUUAGUCAGUAGUGUUAGACGCGAAACCGUGUGAUCUACCCAUGGACAGGAUGAAGCUGUGGUAACACAUAGUGGAGGUCCGAACCCGUUGACGUUGAAAAGUCUUGGGAUGAUCUGUGGGUAGGGGUGAAAGGCCAAUCAAACUCGGAAAUAGCUCGUACUCCCCGAAAUGCAUUUAGGUGCAGCGUUAUGGUUAAAGUUAUAUAGAGGUAGAGCUACUGAUUGGAUGCGGGGGCUUCACCGCCUACCAAUUCCUGACAAACUCCGAAUGCUAUAUAAUGUUUCAUAACAGUGAGGGCUUGGGUGCUAAGGUCCAAGUCCGAGAGGGAAAGAACCCAGACCAUCAGCUAAGGUCCCCAAAUAUAUACUAAGUUGAAAGAACGAGGUCUGUCUGCAUCGACAGCUAGGAUGUUGGCUUGGAAGCAGCCAUUCAUUUAAAGAGUGCGUAACAGCUCACUAGUCGAGCGGACGGGCAUGGAUAAUAAUCGGGCAUAAGUAUAUUACCGAAGCUAUGGAUUU
rnacentral:rRNA from 1 species